rnacentral:rRNA from 1 species
ACUCCUACGGGAGGCAGCAGUGGGGAAUAUUGCACAAUGGGCGCAAGCCUGAUGCAGCCAUGCCGCGUGUAUGAAGAAGGCCUUCGGGUUGUAAAGUACUUUCAGCAGUGAGGAAGGUGGGUAUGUUAAUAGCAUAUUCAUUUGACGUUAGCUGCAGAAGAAGCACCGGCUAACUCCGUGCCAGCAGCCGCGGUAAUACGGAGGGUGCGAGCGUUAAUCGGAAUUACUGGGCGUAAAGCGCAUGCAGGUGGUUUGUUAAGUCAGAUGUGAAAGCCCGGGGCUCGACCUCGGAAUUGCAUUUGAAACUGGCAAACUAGAGUACUGUAGAGGGGGGUAGAAUUUCGAGGUUGUAAGACGGUGAAAAUUGCGUAAGAGGAUCUGAAGGAAUACCGGUGGCGAAGCGGCCCCCUGGACAGAUACUGACACUCAGAUGCGAAAGCGUGGGGAGCAAACAGGAUUAGAUACCCUGGUAGCGUAG